rnacentral:lncRNA from 1 species
UGUCUUACCAAAAUGACACUAAAAAAAUCAGAUUAGGAUUUCAAAAACAACACAAAAAAAAAAAAAAAACAGAAAUCUUGUAUCUAGCAGGAUGAAGUAGCUUCUCAAAGAGAAACACAUUUCUCAUUAUCUGCAAGUGAUUUGCAUUUGCUGCAAAAUUAUUGUAAGCACUUUGGCUCUAGCUAGGAAUGAUACAAAAAUAAACCACUAAAACAAAAUUAAGGCCUAAAGAAACAAAAUCCAGCCACUAAAGAGAAAGAAAACAACACAUAGAAGAAAAGAGAGGAAGAAGAGAAUGCAUAAAAUAAAAUGGAUAGUAAUGUGACAUACACCAACACCAAAGAAUAUCACUAAAGUGUGUUUCAAAUACCUAGACACACAACUCCAAUGGUAGAUAACACCACAUUCUUAGGUGGACGCAAAGGAAUUCACAAUCUCAAGCACCCACCUUUCUUGCCAAUUUAUCAACACAAUUGAAAUCAUCAAUUGUGCUAACCCUAAUUUCGGUUUCUCUCUCUUAAGGAGAAGAAGAACACUACAAUUUAAAAGUCACUCAAGUCAUUCUCUCAAAAACUAAGGAAAAUACAAGCUAAAAGGCCUAUUUAAACUUAUUACAACCAAAUGACAAAAAUGCCCUUAAUGAGGGCUUAGGAAAAGCGCGUCUAUGAAGUGUUAUUUUGGAGUAUAAAAAGUCCAUCUUUCCCUUUAAUUGAGGUGCCUCUUUGAGUGUAAGGACCCUCCUCCUUUUUUCACUUGGACAAGGCUUUGAAAGGCUCCAAAAAGGUCUUUAAUCACUUGCAAGAUCCGAAACUUGAACCUUCCACAAUACCUUAUACUUUUUGUGCUUUUCAUGCUUGUAUCAUCCUCUCUAUCUUGAAAGGAAUUUGUCCUUAAAUUCACAUUUUGCAAAACCAAAGAGGGAAGAAAACAAGCACACAAUCCUCUUGGUAGGAGGUUUAACAUUAGUACCACAAUUAUAUAAUCACUCCAAGGUGGUUCACAUUUAACAUACAUCCAUAUAUCAUUGGUAUUUGGCAUGAAAAUCUUGGCAUAAAGGAUACCAAAGAAGUGAAUGGCAUCAACAUAAAAAGGUAAUGAGCAUAAAUCGAAACCACACCUCCCACAUCUCAAAGGUAUUUUGGGGUCAAAAUGAAGUAGUAAGCAAGGGUCUAGGUCGAGGUUAGCCAUUCCUUUUACUAGAAAAUCAUGCUCACAAUUACUCAAAACAAUCACCCUUAAGAGAAAUCAAGAGUAAAGGGUUAUGGUCUAAAAAUCCCCUCCUAGGAACAAGCACACCUUUAUUCACAAGUUUGCCAAACACAUAAUCAUCAUGAACAAGUCUAGUGGCACGGUUUUCAUCACAUAAGCUCAAGGAAUCAAGUUCCAUGUCAUGAUCAAUAUUAUAAAAAUGAGCACCAACUUGAGGAUUUUUAAUCACAUCAUUCACGUAGCCAAGAAGUGAACUAUACGUAGAAGCACAUUGAUCAUGGUACAAAUUAAGAGAGAUAUUAAGAGAAGAAACAUGCAUCCGUGUAUCACACAAACCCGAGACCAGCACACUAGAGGGUACAUCACAAUAUUUCAAGCGCAAAGAAGGGUAUGGAGUAGCCUUAAGAGUAAGUUGAUCAUUGUUCACAAAUAAUGAGCUGCUAAGGAAGGGAACAUGUACUUCUACUUCAACCAAACUUGUGACCAUUUCACAAUAAAUCAUAUAACAACAAUUUAAGUUCAAGGUAAUGUAUGGGGUAGCAAUGAUACCUAGGUUUGGGCUAGGGCAGUCCACUCUUUUGGAGUUAUCAGUCAAGGGUGCCUUUAGGUCAUUUUUGUGCAAAACUCCUUGUUGAUUCUUCAUUAAUAACUUAGGAACUUGAACCUGCAAAUAAGAAGAAUCAAUGCUAAGCAAAGUGCUAGCAUUUAAGUUAGUUAGUAACAAUGGACAUUUGCGGGCAAGUCCUACAAAUAAAGUUUCCUUUCCCUUUGUUUUCUCACAAUCCGAGGCCUCCCUUUCCCCUUCCCUCUUUUGUUUACAUUUUUCUUGUACUUCUCCACCUAUUUUCUCUCCAUCUUGAGGCUUGGUCUCAUUAUCCUUGGACUUUAGCUCUCCCUCGUCUUCUACAUGAAUGGAGGGGUCUUGGUUUAGUGUAGUUUGAAGAGGAGGUAUCAUUGGUUAAGGAUGGAUUUGGGUUGGUGGCUUUAUAUUUGGGGAAAUGUUGAAUCUUUGGUUUUAAGGGAUUUGAACUUGUGGAGGUUUUGGUGGACAUAGUCUAUCAACCCCCUCUUUUAGUUUAAUCACGUCACUCCUCAUUGAUCCCAUAUAACUCUUCAUAUCUCCUAUAUGUCCCUUUAUUUCUCCCAAAUUCGAACCCAUUCUUGCCAUUUUUUGGUUCAUGGCCUCAAGUUGAGCCAUGAUGAGCCCACCAAUAUCAUUACCAAUGGGUUGUACUUGAACCCAUGGGUUCCAUGCUCCUUGUACCUAACAAACAAUCAAAAACAACAAAGAAAAAUAAUACCUACAAAACAAACAAACAUGUUAGUUCAAUGAAAACCUCACCACACUCUCACUCGGAUCUCACCUCAUACUUGGUCUCACAAGUGUUGAAUACUUGGCAAGUGAAUUGAGUGGUGAAUAUGCUUUGGUCCGGAAUCGAUUUUUGUUUGAUAUGACUCAAAUAAAAUGAUGCACGGACUUGAACCAACAAACUACUACGAAUUAAAAAUGAGAAAAGGCACACAAAAACCAAAGACACGAAAUAAACAAACUCUAGACUAAUUACCAACCUAGUAGGUACUUACUAGUUUGCUAAUUAGUGAUAGAAUUUAACACAUAAGAAACUAGAAUAAAAAAAUUAAAAACUAGAAAAUCUACUUAGGAACUCAAUUUGGCCGAUUCCACUUGAUGAUGUGGCAAUCUUUGAUUGGGCAUGGUUUUCAAAAUUUUCAAUCCCAAAUUUUCUUCAAGUCUCAGCCUACACCUUAAGGAAGAAUAGAAAAAUGCUUUGGGAGGGAAAAACAACAAGUUUGGAGCUCUUUUGAAGCUCCAAUUUGAAUUCAAAAGAUUGGUCCCCCCCUUUGUACUUGGAUUGUACUUGAUUUGUACUUGGUUGUCUCCUUCGUUUUCUUCCUUCUUUUGGAUGACAAUGAAUAUACCAAGGAAUAUUCUUCCACAAACACCGAGUACACUCUCUUUCCUCUCCUUUUUUUGGAUCAAACACCUUCCUUGAAUAUUCUUCUUCAACAAGAUUGGAUGAACAUAGAAAAACAAGAUGAAUAUUCAAGGGUUGACCAACGUUUGACCUUCACUAAAAUGAACCCUAACCUUCAAUUUUUUUUUAUAGAUCUAGGUUCCUUAGGCCAAUAUGAACUCAAAUAUAACAAAAUCAGCAACAACCAAUGUCCAAAACUACAACACUACCCGGAUCUAUCACCUUUAGAGCUUCAAGACGCCAUAUCCAUGGUGGAUCUAGCUCAAAAUCGUCCAAAUCUUGUUCCAAGAGUAGAUCUAGACUUCUUAGGUGCUAGGGAGCAAGGAUCUAGCACUUUAAAUCAACAAAUCAUAAUGAAAUUUAGUAGAUCUAACUUUCAACGCACAGAUCUACUACCAACAACAAGACAAAUAAUUUUUUUGAGUUUUUCAGAUUUUUGACUCUUUUUUGUUGAGAUUUUCUUAAUAAGGACACUAAAACCAAGGAUUAGAUUUGUGGGAACAACCCUAAGCAAGGCUCUGAUACCAAAUGAUAUAAAAAUAAACCACUAAAAUGAAAUUAAGGCCUAAAGAAACAAAAACCAGCAACUAAAGAGAAAGAAAACAACACAUAGAAGAAAGGAGAUGAAGAAGAGAAUGCAUAAAAUGAAAUGGAUAGUAAUGUGACAUACACCAACACCAAAGAAUAGCACGAAAGUGUGUUUCAAACACCUAGACACACAACUCCAAUGG